rnacentral:rRNA from 1 species
GUAGCUGGUCUGAGAGGAUGACCAGCCACACUGGAACUGAGACACGGUCCAGACUCCUACGGGAGGCAGCAGUGGGGAAUAUUGGACAAUGGGGGCAACCCUGAUCCAGCAAUGCCGCGUGUGUGAAGAAGGCCUGAGGGUUGUAAAGCACUUUCAGUGGGGAGGAGGGUUGAUAGGUUAAGAGCUGAUUAACUGGACGUUACCCACAGAAGAAGCACCGGCUAACUCCGUGCCAGCAGCCGCGGUAAUACGGAGGGUGCRAGCGUUAAUCGGAAUUACUGGGCGUAAAGGGUGCGUAGGUGGUUGAUUAAGUUAUCUGUGAAAUUCCUGGGCUUAACCUGGGACGGUCAGAUAAUACUGGUUGACUCGAGUAUGG